GUGGGGAAUCUUGGACAAUGGGGGCAACCCUGAUCCAGCCAUGCCGCGUGAACGAUGAAGGCCUUAGGGUUGUAAAGUUCUUUCAGCGGGGAAGAUAAUGACGGUACCCGCAGAAGAAGCCCCGGCUAACUCCGUGCCAGCAGCCGCGGUAAUACGGAGGGGGCUAGCGUUGUUCGGAAUUACUGGGCGUAAAGCGCACGUAGGCGGAUCAGUCAGUCAGGGGUGAAAUCCCGGGGCUCAACCCCGGAACUGCCUUUGAUACUGCUGGUCUGGAGGUCGAGAGAGGUGAGUGGAAUUCCGAGUGUAGAGGUGAAAUUCGUAGAUAUUCGGAGGAACACCAGUGGCGAAGGCGGCUCACUGGCUCGAACCUGACGCUGAGGUGCGAAAGUGUGGGGAGCAAACAGGAUUAGAUACCCUAGUAGUCC
rnacentral:rRNA from 1 species